AGAGAGAACAGUCAUUUCUAUACAACUGAAUCCAUAUAGAAGAUGAGAGUCCCGGGAGAGAAUGCAUCUAACCUAGGGGAGAAAGAACCUAUUGCUUUCCCUUGCAAAAUGAAGCCAGAAAAGAGAGAGGUACAAAUACAAUCACAGAAAUAAGGUUAUUGCCAGAGGCCUAUGUGAAAGCUAAACUGAAAAGCAACAGACGUAUCACAGAGAAAAUGGUCAGCAGUGUUAUACUCAAUUCAUGCAUUUUUUUGUCCACAUGUUAGUGGAGGAAAAAAAACUGAAAAAUGCUUACUGAAUUGAAUUUAAAGAUAAUUUGGGGUGAUCUUAUAGGCAUAACUUUAUAAUAAAAGAACUCAAAAUUUAGACACACACAUAUUUGGAUAUUUAUUUAACUGGACCAGUUACAUAACUGACACAUAGCAGUUCAACAGUUAACUGACUGUUACAUAGCAGUUAACAGAAUAUUUACUUUUUCUGUAGACUGUAAAAUGACUUUAGGAUUCUGGAUCCAUCAUCAAUAUGACAUAUUUAAAAAAUUUCAGAUUUCAAAAGCAACAACGUUAGGUUAAACAGGAGAAUCUUGAUGGCUCAAGCACCAUAACUGCUAUUCUCUGAGCUGCCUCAUGGAAGGGCCCAACUGGCAAGCAACUGAGACAAGCAAUCGUCAGAGAAGAAUGGAUGUACCCCAUCCAAAGUCCUGCAAUGAACUUGAAUGAUCCUGCAAUCUCAGAAUUGAAAGAAUCCUAUCAAAAACAAAGAACUUAUGAGCACAUACUGUACAGUAGAACUUGAGAUGACUGCAGCUCUUGUCUGCACCUUGAAGAUUUGCAAGAGUCCCUGAACUGGAAGACCGCACUAAGCUAUGCUCAGUUUCCUAACCCACUGUAACUACUAUGGAAAUGAUGAUAGACAAAAAGCAAAAUCAAGUGAUUUUCUUAUUCAAGUUCAAAAUGGAUCAUAAAGCAACAGAGACAACUCACAUCAAUAAUGC
rnacentral:lncRNA from 1 species